CCCAGUGAGAAAGGGUGACUGCAGUUCAGUCAUGUGCUCUUGCAAUCAAGUCUGUGAUGUAUGAUUAAUAAUGCCUUAUAUAUGGUUUGCAGUCAUUUUAAAUAGCAUGAGCCAUGUCCCUGGAGUCAGUAGGGGGCAAUCUUGCUUUUUUCCUUCUCCAUCUCAAAGCAGAUUUGAAAUUACAGAUUAGUGUAAGCUAUGCAUAAGGCUGGCUGUUUGAAAAGGGUUUUCUCAAAAGUCAAAACUUUGGUUAUGAGUGCAUUUCUGCAUGUAAUCCAUAUUUCCUGUUCAAAUUAACCUAGAAAUAUGUUUAAUUGUACUGUGUGUGAACAUCUGGAUGCAAAACCAUAGUGCAAAGUUCAUUGUAGUGUUAACAAAAAAAAUGUUCUCAAUUGGUGAAUAAGCAUUAAUUUUUCAUAGUCUAUAUUCAGAAAUUACCUUUUCAUUCUGUAGUUCUGUGUACAAAGGAAUUUUGAAGGUGUUUGUCAUUACAUAAAAUGGAAAGGGCAAAGACAGAUUCAGAUUAAAUACUAAACGUUACUCUGAAAACUGUGGCUAGAAUCCCAGAGGGUCAGGAACCGAGAAUUAGUGUGGAAGUUUUGAGAGGAUCCCUAACGUUCUGUACUCCUUGCUUUUACAGCUGUUAUAACUGUAGAACGAUGUGUUUGCUGCCCAACUGCUAGCUACUUUAGUUGCUAUAUUAAACUGUAAAUACAACAGAACAUUAACAAAUGUCUCAUGUGUAGC